AAAAUUAAUAAUUUUUCUCUCAUAUAAUCGCAGGGAUAUGGCCUGCAAGUUUCUACCGAGCCCCUUAAAGGUUUCGACUAUGAGCAGUGAUAUG
rnacentral:ncRNA from 1 species